rnacentral:rRNA from 1 species
GACGAACGCUGGCGGCGUGCUUAACACAUGCAAGUCGAACGGAAAGGCCCUGCUUUUGUGGGGUGUUCGAGUGGCGAACGUGUGAGUAACACGUGAGUAACCUGCCCUUGACUUUGGGAUAACUGCAGGAAACUGGGGCUAAUACCGGAUAGGAGCUCCUGCUGCAUGGUGGGGGUUGGAAAGUUUCGGCGGGUGGGGAUGGACUGGCGGCUUAUCAGCUUGUUGGUGGGGUAGUGGCUUACCAAGGCUUGGACGGGUAGCCGGCCUGAGAGGGUGACCGGCCACAUUGGGACUGAGGUACGGGCCAGAGGCCUAAGGGGGGCAGCGGUGGGAAAUAUUACACAAUGGGCGGAAGCCUGAUGCAGCAACGCCGGGUGGGGGAUGAAGGCCUUCGGGUUGGAAAGCGCUUUCGCCUGUGACGAAGCGUGAGUGACGGUAAUGAGUAAAGAAGCACCGGCUAACUACGUG